UACGGAGGGAGCUAGCGUUGUCCGGAUUUAUUGGGCGUAAAGAGCGUGUAGGCGGCCAGACAGGUCCGCUGUGAAAACUCGAGGCUCAACCUCGAGAUGUCGGUGGAAACCGUCUGGCUAGAGUCCGGAAGAGGAGAGUGGAAUUCCCGGUGUAGCGGUGAAAUGCGCAGAUAUCGGGAAGAACACCCGUGGCGAAGGCGGCUCUCUGGGACGGUACUGACGCUGAGACGCGAAAGCGUGGGGAGCGAACAGG
rnacentral:rRNA from 1 species